rnacentral:rRNA from 1 species
GACGAACGCUGGCGGCGUGCUUAACACAUGCAAGUCGAACGGAAAGGCCUGUCCUUCCUUGUGUUGGACGGGUACUCGAGUGGCGAACGGGUGAGUAACACGUGAGUGAUCUGCCCCCAACUUGGGUAUAAGCCUGGGAAACUGGGUCUAAUUCCCGAUAGGACUGCAGGGUGGUGCCUGUGGUGGAAAACGAUUUUCUAGUGGUUGGGGAUGAGCUCGCGGCCUAUCAGCUUGUUGGCGGGGUAAUGGCCUACCAAGGCGGCGACGGGUAGCCGGCCUGAGAGGGUGGACGGCCACAUUGGGACUGAGAUACGGCCCAGACUCCUACGGGAGGCAGCAGUGGGGAAUAUUGCACAAUGGGCGGAAGCCUGAUGCAGCGACGCCGCGUGGGGGAUGACGGCCUUCGGGUUGUAAACUCCUUUCGACCGCGAGGAAGCCGCCUGGUUGGAAGGGUGGUGACGGUAGUGGUAGAAGAAGCACCGGCUAACUACGUG